CCUUUGUGGCUGAUGACAUCAUGUUUUAUUUCUCAUGGAUGUCGAAAGGGGAGGGGGCCGGCACCCUGUCUUGCUACUUCCGAAAGACAUCCAUAAAAAAGAGAAGAAACGGCGAGAGGCGGUGGAUUGAGACAGCUGGGAGCAAACAGGGUAGGACCAGAGAAAAAUUCCUCAGUUUACAGUGCGCAUGUCGGUCGUUGUGAGCACCGGCGCAGGCCUGUGAACCCGCUGGCAAAACGAAUCCCAAGAGGAAGCAGCAGCCCACCGCGUGGCCACGACGCCCAGUUGUGUUCGCUCAGUUGUCGUGGUGUGGUGUGCCUGGUUGUCAGCAGGGCUCGAAGAUUGGUGGUCUCGACUGGAUCAGCAAGAUCACCUUGGUUCUCAUUGCACAACGGAGGAGUUCCUAUUUUUUUCGGAAGAUGGCAGUGUCCGGCUGGCCAGGUCACUCCCAGGAAGAACGCCGUAUUUGCGCGUAGGCAGGCCAGGUCCUUUGGCAGUUCCAGCACGGUGGGUCUGUCCCACUUAAGUCGUUCUGGUACAUUAAAGCUGCAGCGGACUGAAACAUUCACAGUGCAGACAGCAACUUAACGGCACUCCUAAGACCUGAUGGACUUCUGCUAGCUCGUUCCUGAAGAGCUGGAAAGAGCAUGGUUAAACACCAACCGUUGCAGUACUACGAGCCACAGUUAUGUUUGUCGUGUCUGACGGGAAUCUAUGGCUGCCGUUGGAAACGGUACCAGCGGUCACAUGACGAUACAACAAAGUGGGAGCGUCUCUGGUUUCUAAUCCUCACCUUCACUUUCUUCCUGACGCUGAUCUGGUUUUAUUUCUGGUGGGAAGUUCAUAAUGACUACAACGAGAUCAACUGGUUUUUGUAUAACCGGAUGGGAUAUUGGAGUGACUGGUCCAUUCCAAUACUUAUAACAACUGCUGCUGGCUUUACUUACGUUACAGCGUUGUUGAUUUUAGCACUAUGUCACAUAGCAGUGGGACAGCAAAUGAACCUACACUGGCUCCACAAGAUUGGACUGAUUGUGACCUUGAUAGCUACCGUUAUAACCAUGUCUUCUAUAGCACAGCUUUGGGAUGAUGAAUGGGAGAUGGUAGUUAUUUCAUUGCAAGCCACAGCUCCAUUCCUGCACAUAGGAGCCCUUGUUGCAGUCACAGCCCUGUCCUGGUUGAUAGCGGGGCAGUUUGCAAGAACGGAAAAAGCCACUUCUCAGAUGCUGACAUUCACUGCAUACUUUGCAGUCGUAGUUGCACUUUACCUCGUUCCACUCACUAUCUCUUCCCCUUGUAUAAUGGAGAAGAAGGACCUGGGACCAAAGCCUGCCAUCAUUGGUCAUCGUGGAGCACCAAUGCUGGCACCUGAAAACACUCUGAUGUCCUUCCAAAAGGCAGUGGAGCAGAAAAUAUAUGGCGUGCAAGCUGACGUAGUGAUAAGCUAUGACGGAGUGCCAUUCCUCAUGCACGAUGAGACGCUCAGGAGAACGACAAAUGUGGAGGAGGUGUUUCCAGAGCUGGCCUACAAACAGUCGUCCAUGUUCAACUGGACGGACCUGGAGAAGCUGAAUGCUGGUGGAUGGUUCCUAAAGGAUGACCCCUUCUGGACAGCUGGUGCCCUCUCAGCUUCUGAUUACGUGGAAGCUGGGAACCAAUCUGUCUGUAAGCUGGAAGAUAUGUUACAGAUCAUAAAGGACAACACUUCAUUGAUCCUGAACUUCCAGAACCUGCCACCGGAUCAUCCUUACCACAGCACUUACAUCAACAUCACCCUGGAGACCAUCCUGAUGUCGGGGAUUCAGCAGCAGGCAGUGAUGUGGCUGCCCGAUACGGAGCGGCAGCUGGUGAGGCAGAUUGCGCCUGGUUUCCAGCAGACUUCUGGCAUCAAGGCCGGCGUCGAGCGCUUGAGAGAGAAGGGCAUCAAGAAGCUGAACCUGCGCUACACCAAGGUCACCAGCGAGGACAUCAGGGAAUAUGCCACAGCGAAUCUGAGCACUAAUCUCUACACUGUGAAUGAGGCUUGGCUUUACUCCAUCCUGUGGUGCGCUGGCGUUCAGUCUGUCACAUCCGAUAGCUCGCAUAUCCUCAGCAAGGUGCCUUUUCCCAUCUGGAUACUGCCUCCAGACGAGUACUGUCUAAUAUGGAUAACAUCUGAUAUCAUUUCAUUUACCAUAAUUGUAGGAGUUUUUAUAUUCCAGAAAUGGCGGCUAGGAAGCAUACGGACCUAUAACCCCGAGCAAAUCAUGCUCAGUGCUGCUGUUCGCAGGUCCAGUCGGGAUGUCAAAAUCAUGAAGGAGAAACUGAUCUUUUCUGGUUCUACCGUCUGAAGUCUGCCUGAUUCACUGACAAAAUUUCUUGUUGGCUUUUUUUUUUUUCUUUUAUCUUUUUUUUUUUUUUUUUCCAAAAGACUCUAGUCGUUACAAGAAAUCAACAACGGAGGGGAGAAUACGGACGAGCUGUCGCUGUGCUCUGAAAACGGCUACUCCAACGAGGUUGUCACCCCCAUGGACCAUCGGGACAUGAAGCUGCGCAUGGACUGAGGAACUGGAAAGGAAACCCAAUGGCACAACAAUAAACCCUGCCGUUCUUGUUGCAAUGAGUGGCGUUGGCUCUCUUCCGAACCCAAUGGCAUGGGGACCCUUCUGGAACUACUGAAUGUGUGGACAUCCUCCCCUUCUCUGGUCACUGGCUCCCCAUGCCUCUCUGGACUGCGUGGUCGGGGAGGGGCUUUGUGUACAUAUGUAGAAAGUCCAAUUUUUUUGUCCUUUUUCUUGUAUUUUUGGAGAUUGUAUGCAUUUCUUUUAGUGCACAAGCGGACAUAACGUGCCCACGAAAAAUGUCGGCAUUUUGGCCAAAGCUGAUGACAAAUUUUGAAGUGACGGCCUGGACGUUGGGGUAGGCAGGUGGAGUGUCCCACAACCCCCCUCCCACUCCCCUCGAUGUGGCGAUUGUGUAGCUGACCUUGUUUAAAAGUGUAUGUCGUGACGUUCUUGUGAAGUGUCCCUUUCUUUUUCUGGGUAAUGCCGUUUUCAGCUGAAUUUCAUAGAAGACCGGUCAGAGAGAGACCGGUCUUCUCCUAGCAGAGGAGACGGUGCUGCCCCCAGGCAGCCUUCAGGGGCAGAGGAAGGCAAUGGCUUAAUUGCUUUCCUGCUUCCCUGGAGCAGUAGGAAGUGCUCGAGGUUAAGCUGUUGAUGGGCUUUCAAGCUAAUGCCACUGUCCUUACCCCGACCUAAAUGAAGACAGUAGUCACCCAUAAUUGGCAGGAAACCUCCUACUACUAUGAAGAGCCUGGUACCAGGCCAUUUUAAGGAGGUGCCACCUGCUGCCAAUCCAAUGCCUGCCAGUGUAAAGAUAUUAUGCAUUGCCCCAUAAUCCCCUUUCCUGGCACCAGAUAGUAAGGGGCCUCGCUCCCGCAUUUCUCCAUCACAGAGGCAAGUUGCUGUGCGGGGGUGAGGAAAUCUGGUUUAUAAAUGGGCAAAUGUGAAGUUGGUCCAAGGGAGUCACUUAUUUAACCAAGGGGACGUUCUCCUUAUUCUGCAAUAAAUGUUUACAGAUUACAGGUUUAAUUUCCUCCAAAGGAGUCCGCUGCAGAAACAACUGAAAUGCCCACACAGAAAAUCCUGUGCUAAAAUAAAAGGGAAAAAAUGGCCAGACAUGGUGUGCAUCAAAGAUGCAUUUAUUUUUCUCUUCCAAAGUAUUUUCCCACCCCUCGCUCCCUCCUGUUCCUUCUUUUUCCACACAUUGCAACUGGGCCAUGACAACAAAUGUGCAUCUGCAUUUUGCCGGUUUUUGGGCUGCAAGAAAUAGUUGGCAGCUCUUCCCUCUCUUGGCCUCAUGGGGAGGACUCUUGCUUGUGGCUGGUCCCAAAGCCAGUUGAAGCCUGACAGAGUCCACCAAUUCUUGGUAGCGUUUGUAACUUCAGGACACAUGUACAUUAGCACCUAAGGGCACCGGCAGGAAACGGGCUCAGCCCUUGCUUUGCUUCUGUGCAUGCCAACAGCCAGAAAUGACACCGAGGGCCGCUCUACAGCAGCUACGUUGCCUCACUUCCAGGACAUGGUGCAUAUGAACCCAAAGGAUAUGUGCAGGGCCUGGUUCACGGUGAUGCUCCUGGCUGGGCACUCAAGUGAUGCGUAGACAACCAACCCCUUUGUUCUGGAUAACACAAGAAACAUGGAGGGUAAGAAAUGCCAGUGAUCACCGGCUGCCUUGCAAGCCCAGCAAACACUGCCGUGAAGACCAUUUGGGUGUGAAAUCUGUCCCCUGGGGAGGGAUCUGAGUCAUGUCUUCAAAGGACAAAAUGGGAUUUCUUCCUACUGUCCUACCUGGCAUCACCCUUGUUAAACAGAGAGCAAUCUGCCAUAGGUGCUGUACGGUCAUAGGAUGGAGAUCUUUGAAGUGGCUUUAUCACAUCAUGAGAGCAGCAAGAUUUUUCUUGAAGCUGGUUUUUGCAAUGAUUUUUAAAACAUAGCGGUUCCCCAACAGCUUUAGACCCCAAAUCCCAACCUGGAGCAUAAGACCUGGGAAACAAACCUGACCGGAAGGUAAAGCUGAUGAUACAACUGAAUGAAGUGGAAGGGGGAAAAAAUUAAGAAACUAACCCCGGGAGUGGAUGGAAAAACAUUCUUGGAUUUUUAUUUUUAUUUUUUUUGGUUUGAAAAUUAAAUGUGCUAUUUGUAACCCUAAGAAUGAAACCUAUUAUAAUCUGUGUCUUAAGACAGCUUUCAAAAAUGCAAGGCCAGACUCUUGGUUGCUGCUGUGAUCGUUUUACUUUGGAUUUAAACCUAUUGGAGUUUAAUCUGGGUUUCUCCCAGUGUAGAUGUGGAUCAGCACGUGACCCAGUCAGUGUAUUGCCCCCUGCUGUGCUGUCUUUUAUUCGGUGCUCUCUCCCGCUGAUGAAAUCAGAUGGUUUUUUUGCAGACUGGGGGGGGAAAAACACAUCUGUGCUGUUGGCCCGAAGCCUUCUGAGAAGAGCUGCAGUCGUGGGGCUGUUUUUUGAACCGUUCCCGGCUGCACUUGGUAGCCCCUGAGAGACUCUUUUACAUCUCGCUAUCUGCGGACGAUCACCUGCACGUCCACACCCUGACCUCGGAGUCGGCUUUGUUGAAAGAGCAGAUGCUCAACAGCCUGGAAGGGUUGGAAGAAACCUAGUAAGACCUUGUCGACUCGCAACACACACUUCUUGCUAAGAGACUCAAACCUUUCUGGUUCUGCCGUGAUGACCGCUGUCAUCCUGCCAAUUGACUCCCAAAACCAAUAUGCGUUUGCAGUGAAAAGGGGUCUAGACCAAAAUCAGUCCCACAGUCCUCUGUGAAAUAAAAUGUCAGUAUUUCUCUGCUA